AAAAUAUCUGUCUUAAUAAACUGUUGUGAACCAUAUCCCUAAUGUAACCCUGUUUCAAAGGUCGUCUCCGACAGAUUGUAUCUCCGUUGAAUACUCCGUACUCCGGCCAUCCGCCAAACCAAACCUUGCCAAGGAUUUUACAUAAAUAACCUCAUGGAGCUAGUAAAACUUAAAGUGCAUUAAAAAUAACCUAUUUAAACACAAUUUUCAGUGAAUCAUUUACAUAUAAACAGUGAACUUAUUUAACCAGAUAAAUAUUCAUUUCAGAAGAAUUAGACUUCAGUACAAACAACUUUUCGCCGUACCACAGUUUUCUAGAUCGAAACUUCGUUACUGAAUAAACAUUUUCAAGAAGUUCUCAUCUAUGUGUGUCUGGUAGAAGAGAGUGUUUCCCUAACCUAAUUGCCUUUGGAUUUGUCAUUCAUCGAGUUACCUAUCCUUUGCUUAAGUACAUCCCGCUUCGAGUAACUUUUCCUUUUGUUCAGCUCACAACUGU